rnacentral:rRNA from 1 species
AGAAUCAACGCUGGCGGCGUGCCUAACACAUGCAAGUCGAACGAGAAAGUGGAGCAAUCCAUUAGUAAAGUGGCGCACGGGUGAGUAACACGUGACUAACCUACCUUUUAGUGGGGGAUAACCUAGGGAAACCUGGGCUAAUACCGCAUAAUACCUACGGGUCAAAGCAGCAAUGCGCUGAAAGAGGGGGUCGCGGUCGAUUAGUUAGUUGGCAGGGUAAUGGCCUACCAAGACUGUGAUCGAUAUCCGGCCUGAGAGGGCGCACGGACACACUGGAACUGAAACACGGUCCAGACUCCUACGGGAGGCAGCAGUGGGAAUUUUGCGCAAUGGGGGAAACCCUGACGCAGCAACGCCGCGUGGAGGAUGAAGUCCCUUGGGACGUAAACUCCUUUCGAUCGGGACGAUAAUGACGGUACCGGAAGAAGAACGCCCCGGCUAACUUCGUGCCAGCAGCCGC